rnacentral:rRNA from 1 species
GACAGAGGUGCCGAGCGUUAGGCGGAAUCACUGGGCUUAAAGCGCGUGUAGGCGGGUCCGUAAGGGCCUUGUGAAAUCCCACGGCUCAACCGUGGAACUGCUGGGCAUACUGCGGGUCUUGGGCCAUCUAGGGGCGAGCGGAACAAGCGGUGGAGCGGUGAAAUGCGUAGAUAUCGCUUGGAACGCCAAUGGUGAAAACAGCUCGCUGGGGAUGUGCCGACGCUGAGACGCGAAAGCCAGGGGAGCGAACGGG